rnacentral:misc_RNA from 1 species
CUCGAGCCCAUUUGUCCAGGACUCAUGGAUCAAAUUCCGGCGGCAGCACGCAGGAGCCACGCGCGACCCUUUUCCGUUGAGCUUCUCUCCAGAAAACGCAAAGGAACAACAUAAAAAUGGCAUUGUCCGCUCUUCUUUACGUCAAUUCCAGUUCCUUCCCUCCUCUUCACUUCGCCAAAUCUCCAAUUCCACUUAAGAAAACCCUAGCUGCUCCUGCCCCUGCCCCUGGUCCUAGAUUUCCCAAAAUGUUGCCUUCGCCCCACAGACCCCAAGCAUUCUGCUUGCAGGGAGCUCUAUCGGAGGCGAUGAAUUUGAUCCAAUCAUCGCCGCCCACUUGGCGAUCUGCUUUCUUCAACAACUUGUUGAUAUUCACUGUGGGUUCUCCUAUUCUGGUCUCUGGGCUUUCUCUAUCUGGCAUUUGCGCUGCAUUUCUUUUGGGCACUCUCACUUGGCGCGCUUUUGGGCCUUCUGGGUUCCUCCUCGUUGCUUCUUAUUUCGUUAUAGGCACCGCAGCUACGAAGGUGAAAAUGGCGCAAAAGGAAGCCCAGGGAGUGGCUGAGAAGAGGAAGGGAAGAAGGGGACCUGGCAGUGUGAUUGGUUCCAGUGCUGCUGGUUGUCUCUGCGCUUUUUUGUUGAUUAAUAGAAUAGGGGGAGAGGCAUUUUCUCGGCUUUGGGAACUUGGAUUUGUAGCCAGUUUCUGUACUAAGUUGAGUGAUACUGUCUCAAGCGAGAUAGGGAAGGCAUAUGGAAAAACUACGUAAGUAAUGCAACUCUGUAUUCUGAGAAAUAGAUAGGGUAAAUUGACGAAAUUAAAAAGUUUUUGGGUAAAAUUGCAAAUCUGUGAGAAGGUUUGGAUUUUUGUGGCCAUUUGAUCUUCAUAUGAUCGUGACAACAUGGAUGAUUAAUAUACAAUUACCAGAAUCAAACCAAUUUAUUAAGUUUCAUUUCAAUUCAUUCACUUGAAGACAAAGCGCACAAAUUAUUAUGCUAUCUCAUUUGCAGUUGGCUGCAUUGUAUGUUCAAUCAUCUGGUCUCUUGAAAAAAUGCACUAUAGCACUCUCCAUUUAUGUUACUUGCAUCUUGUUUGUGGCACUUUUUGCUUGUCCUUUGUAUUCCUUGAAAAGAAACAAAAAAGAAUAUACAAGUCAUCUGGAAAGAUAUAUCCUUAUGUAUAUAUUGGUUAACUCCUGAAAUUGUUACUCAGUUUUAUUGUUUCAAUUUGGGAGGCAUGGGCAGGUAUCUUGUUACAACAUUUAAGGUAGUUCCAAGGGGAACAGAGGGGGCUGUAAGUGUUGAGGGAACAUUAGCUGGAUUGUUGGCAUCAAUUCUUCUUGCCGUUGUUGGUUGUUCCAUGGGUGAAAUACGUACUUCCGAAGCAGUUAUAUGUGUGAUAGCUUCCCAGAUCGCUAAUUUUGGUGAGAGCAUAAUAGGUGCUUCACUCCAAGAGAAAGAAGGAUUUCGAUGGCUUAACAAUGAUGCUGUUAAUGUCCUUAACAUAUCUAUGGGCAGCAUUUUAGCAGUCCUGAUGCAGCAAGUUGUACUCCGGAACUUGCACUUGUAAAUUCAUAAAAUUACUUUAGGAGCUCAGAUGUCUUAUUUCUAAUCUGCUUUAAGAUUGUCAAGCAGUACAUACAUUUCAGCAAUGAAGAAAGUGUGAUAAGGGAUAGAUGAAGGCAUUUUGCCUUGUUUCACUUCUGGCAGUUGUGUCAAUUGCAUGGUUAUGUUCAAACAAAGAUACCCUCCAUUAUCAGCAGAUUGUCCGAGUUGCACGGACAUCUUUCAUGAUGUAGACCCAAGAUUUCAGUUUUUCUCCACGUUACAGUUAAGAACCAAGGUGCUUCCGUAAGUAACUUGUUUAUUUUGCAGAUAACAUUCCCUCUAUGGUUAUAAGGUCCAAAACUCCCCUUUUAUUUAUCUGUACUAUUAUUAUUUGACAUGCUAAUUCCUCAGUUCAAAGUAAUGAAUGGAGAAAGUUCAACUGAGAGACUGGAAUUAUUUUAGCAAUUCUUCAUCAUCAGCCCAGCGGCAAAACAAUCUGCAAAUGGAAAUUACGGAUUUCAAGUUUGUUAGCUGUGGAGUAUGAGUAGGGAAAACUUAAAUAAAUGGUUAACGGUGAUUGUUAUGCAUCAUAAAGUUUAUUUUUUAUGCUAGUCAUAUCACAUUAGUAGGCAUGAUAAUGUAGUGAACUAGGUGUAAGUGUAACUACCUAGUAUAAACUAUUCAUUGGUAAGUUGAUUAUAGGUGGACUCCUAUUUAAUUUUCAUUCUGUUGAAACAUUCUGUUUUGUGUGAAGCAUAACGCAUACUUUUCAAUAAUGCGCAAGUGAGCAUUUUUAGCUUUAUAAAGUUCUUAAGAUAUUCAGCAAGUUCUUCUCUUUGGUACUUGAGAUACUUUUAAAAUGAAUGUGGCUUUGAUGGGGGAAUUUCAGCUUAGAGAUCUUAUUGAAAUUUGAUGAGAUUAGGCUCAUUUAAUACAAUUAUAGUUUAGUGACCAAACUGCAAUAAUAAAGUUCUUUGAACAUGAUGAAAAUCAGUUUAAAGUUUAAUCACCAUUGAUAUAAUUCACCUCAAAUUUAAUAAUCAAUACCCCUCUUGAGGGUGGAGGCAAAAGAAAGAAGUUAUGGUCCGUCCUUUUGUUUAUUUCAAUGUGUUUACAUGUCAUCUUCCUCAGUUUCACCAUUUUUGCUAGCGCAUCCCUUGGCCUCCUUGAGAAUGAGCUCCAAAAGCCUCUCAUACACUCUGAUUGCAGACUCAAGCAUGUCAAUGGCUUUUCUUCUGUCACUUGCUGCCACAGUUAGAACAUCCUCUACGCCCAUCGUAUCUUUUAUGGGUUUGGAGCUAAGCUCUUUCCCUGAUAAUCCCAAAUUCCCACCGCCAAAUUCAUUCAUGUCAUUGCCUAUUCGAAGCCCAUACGCUUUACCAUCACUAAUCCCUUUGGCCACCACUACAUCACUGAUGCCUUCCAUGUCAUUGCCAAGAACCAUAAGCACUUGCCCCCUUUCUAUUUCCCAUAUGUAAAUACUUCCAUCUUCUGCAGCAGAUACCAAAUUCUUCCCCUCAUUCACCACCACCACUGAUACGACAGCUCCACCAUGUUUUUCUGCCCAUGUGACCAAUUCACGACUCUGGUUCGCCUCUUUUGUGCUUCCAACCUUCAGGAAUCCUUUGUAAAUCAAACCAUCAGAUCCUGCAGCAUAGAAUUCUGCUUCUGUUGUGUCCAAUGCGAUGCUAGAAAUCACACAUGGGAACGCCACUGUCUGCAGAUUUGUUCCUUCCAAAAGGCUCCACAGCUUGCAAGUGCAAUCUGUUGAACAAGAAACUAUGGUAGGAUGGCAUAAUCCCAUGCAAGCAAUGAUACUUGUCACAGGACCAUCAUGAGCAACAAAUCUAUGCAAUGUCAGGUUGCUAGGACUCUCUUCCCCUGAUGCUUCUACAAGCUGAAAUAUUGGAACAACAGCAAUAGUACCAUCAUCGCCUCCAGAAAUCACAAGUGACCAGUCACUAUUGAUUCUGAGAGAAGAUACAGGCUUGUCAUGAGCAGGAAAUGAUCUGAGAAUGCUCCCUGAAGGGAUUGUUAGAGAAUAGACGCUUCCGGAAAGACCACCUGCAAAUAGAUACAAGCCAUCAGGAGUUGCAGCGAGUGGAGCCACAGGUUCAGGAACAGGAAGGUGGUGCAAAGCUGUAGGAGACCACCAAUUGUAGAGGUGAAUAGAGCCUGAAGCUGUGGAUGAGGAGAUGUGAGAGGCAGCAACAUAAGCAUUUCCUGCAAGGGCAAGGCCAUGGCGAGGUGACCGGCUGCCGGUGAAGCAAGCUAGGGUGGUGCCUGAGACGGUGUCAUAGGCAGUUAUGGGGCCAUCAGGGGAGCUAGUGAUGACAAUUUCAGGUGAUGAAGAGGACAUUUUUUUUUUCCCAGGUUGGCUAGCGGACAUGUAGUAUGCAAUAGAAGGAUGCUUAAUUGUGUGAUUCAGAAGGUAUAAGUAAGGGCAAACCAG